rnacentral:lncRNA from 1 species
AGAGAGACUGUGUGAGAGGACAGAGGAGGGAGGGCCUGCUUCUGACCAGAGGGUUGAAGGAAGCCUGCCUGGAGGAGGUGGUUUGAGGAGGGCCUUAAAGGAUGGGUCUUACAACACCCUUGUGAGGAAGGAAGAAUUAUUAUCUCCAUUUCAGAUGAGGCUGAGUGGCCAAGCAAAAUGCACACGGCCACUGAGUGUGGACAGCCAAGAGCCAAACACAGGUUGAGUCCAGAGCUCAAGGGAGAGAAACCUCCAAGUAGCUGAGUAAGCCCAGUGUGGAGACCCCCUUUCCCAGAGAAGAGAGAUCAGAGCUGCAAGAGAGGCUCCAGGUAAAGCUGCAGGCACUGCGUCUGCUUAGAAGGAAGAGAUAAGACAAUCCUGCCAACGAAAAAGACUGAUUAAUGGAUUUUGUCCUCUGAGAGGAGGGUGCAGCUGUUAUUAUUUCCUUUUUAAUGACUUCUAGACUGAAGUUAAAAAAUACUACAACCACCUGGAUUUGAGGCCUGGCUACGUCCAAGGCCGUGUGACCUCGGGUGAAUUACUUAACCUCUCUGUGCCUCAGAGUCUUCAAGGAUUAAAUGAGACGUUAGGACUAGGUAACAUCUAAGAUGACUUCCAGCAGUUCUCCCAAGAUGCUGGGCAGUGCAACACUAACUAAGGCCCCAGCUGAUUGGCUAUCUGUGUUCAUCCCUCCUUUCUCCUACCAAUGGGGCACUCUUGAAUGCCAACGCCUCCUGCCUCCUGGGUUCUUCAGGACCGGAGAGUUGAAUGCGUUCUCUUUCUGUUGCUGUGAGAGUCACGGGCAUGAUUGGGGAAGAGACAGAGGUAAGGGCCUGACGGAGAGUCCCCUCUUCCUCCUCCUCCUUCAUGAUCACAAGAGGGUGAAGAACGAGAGAGGCAACGGCAGCCACCAGCUCCCCCCGUUGGACCCUUUGCAUGCACAGGAUUUCCUGAGCUGAGUCCUCACAGGUUUGAACCGGCUGAGAUCAGCAGCAUCUGAUCCAUCGUGAGCACUGGGGCCGAGCAUACUGACCCCGGGCGGGAACAGCCUGCGGACUUGGACUUAAACGAAAUCAUAAAAGCAACCACCUAAGAAGUACUUCUUAUGGGCCAGGCACCAUGAACAUUCUUUCAUUUAAGCCUCACAAACAUAAGUGGGAAAUAUUGCGAAUACUAGGUUUCAACUGUGGAAAUAGAGGCCUAAAAGGGUUAAAUGAUUUGCCCAGGGUCCGUCAGCUAGUAAGUGUCUGAAUGGAGAUUUGAAUCCAGGUCACCUGCCGAUGUUAGCCGAAAUGCCACCUCCUCCAGGAAGCCCUCCCUGAACACCAAGACCCGCCAGAACAGAUCCCUUUAUUAUGCUCCAGCAUUCU